rnacentral:rRNA from 1 species
AACGAACGCUGGCGGCAUGCCUAACACAUGCAAGUCGAACAAGACCUUCGGGUCUAGUGGCGCACGGGUGCGUAACGCGUGGGAACCUGCCCUUAGGUUCGGAAUAACUCCCCGAAAGGGGUGCUAAUACCGGAUAAUGUCUUCGGACCAAAGAUUUAUCGCCUUUGGAUGGGCCCGCGUUGGAUUAGCUAGUUGGUAGGGUAAAAGCCUACCAAGGCGACGAUCCAUAGCUGGUCUGAGAGGAUGAUCAGCCACACUGGGACUGAGACACGGCCCACACUCCUACGGGAGGCAGCAGUGGGGAAUAUUGGACAAUGGGCGAAAGCCUGAUCCAGCAAUGCCGCGUGAGUGAUGAAGGCCUUAGGGUUGUAAAGCUCUUUUACCCGGGAUGAUAAUGACAGUACCGGGAGAAUAAGCUCCGGCUAACUCCGUG